rnacentral:pre_miRNA from 13 species
UAAUUUGUCUAGGGCAGAUCCUCAUCUAGUCAUGGCAGACCCGCACCUGACUGCUCAUAAUCACCCGUUAUCGCAAGCACAACUACAUCAUUGACAUUAAAAAACAUAGGAUAAUUGUUAUGUGAAUAAUAA